CGUCAUCAUUCAUAUUUAUCUAUCCAAUGUGGGACAAUCUGCAUAAAGUGCUAUGUGAAAGCUUUACUUAAGUCAUAUGGUAAACCAUGGCCAUGAAAACAGACAAUCUAAGAUUGGAUGGGGAAAGCAACCUUGAGACUGUGGAUAAAGGCUUGAGUUCUGUUUCUAUUCCUGGUUAUGAUGAGAUCAGAUAGCAGUUAGAGAUGUUGUAGCCACAAGGAUUUCAGGUUUUAUCAGGAUGUAAAAUAAUCUGUUGCAGAAGACUUGGACCUUCUUUAUUAUGUUUUCAGAACACUCGCGUUUUGUUGGAGAACUAAUGCUUGUUGGUCUUAUGUAGCGAUAUGGCGAUGCAGGAGCAUGUGAUCAGUAUAAUACUAGCGAACAUUCUUCUUCCCUUCGGCUUGUUGACUACUAACAAAGUAAGAAGUUUCUGAAGAUCUUUGAAAUGGAAAUAGGCAGGGGAAGCGCGAACGCAGGCCCCCACUGCCACAAAUUAUGACGUAGGCUCUGCCACUUGGACAGACCUUAGGCGAGCACCCCUCCCAAGUGCAAUGGAAGUCACUAGCCUAGGCCAUGGGUCUUCUUGAUCACCCAUUGACCCCGUCCAGAUGAUGACGAGGAUGACAAGCAGAAUGUAGAAGGUGAAGAGUUUUGCCAUCUUUGAUGAUAAAUGUGGUGCCUCUAUGCUCUCAGUAUAGGCAGUUGGGGAACCUUAUAUCUUGUCUAUCCACCAAUGAGGAGAUAUGUGUGUAUAAAAGUCGUGGCAUGUUGCAAGAAUUAGUUAAAAUUAUUCUAAUGUAUGGUAAUCACACGAUAUAGCUCUUUGUCAAAAAAGAUUGAUAAUUUAAGAAUCAUUUAAUAAGAGUGUGAUAUGUUUUGUGGGGACAUAUUUUCUUGUAUGGAAAGGUUGAAGGAAAAAAUAUAAAGCCCUUUUAACUC